GAAUCUACCUUCAGGUCUGGGACAACCACUGGAAACGGUGGCUAAUACCGAAUGUGCCGAGAGGUGAAAGGCUUGCUGCCUGAAGAAGAGCUUGCGUCUGAUUAGCUAGUUGGUGGGGUAAGAGCCUACCAAGGCGACGAUCAGUAGCUGGUCUGAGAGGAUGAUCAGCCACACUGGGACUGAGACACGGCCCAGACUCCUACGGGAGGCAGCAGUGGGGAAUUUUCCGCAAUGGGCGAAAGCCUGACGGAGCAAUACCGCGUGAGGGAGGAAGGCUCUUGGGUUGUAAACCUCUUUUCUCAGGGAAGAACAGAAUGACGGUACCUGAGGAAUAAGCAUCGGCUAACUCCGUGCCAGCAGCCGCGGUAAUACGGAGGAUGCAAGCGUUAUCCGGAAUGAUUGGGCGUAAAGGGUCCGCAGGUGGCAUUGUAAGUCUGCUGUUAAAGAGUCACGCUCAACGUGAUAAAAGCAGUGGAAACUACAAAGCUAGAGUGUGGUCGGGGCAGAGGGAAUUCCUGGUGUAGCGGUGAAAUGCGUAGAUAUCAGGAAGAACACCGGUGGCGAAGGCGCUCUGCUAGGCCAAAACUGACACUGAGGGACGAAAGCUAGGGGAGCGAAUGGG
rnacentral:rRNA from 1 species